CCUCCUUCCGGGCACCGCCUUCUCUUCCGGGCGCCCGUGUGAACCCUCAGGCGCAGGCGUGGCCCUGUGCGUGCGCGGGCGAGGGAGAGGUGCACGGCGGUGUUCUUUAAGCGACGCUCUCUGGCGGCGCCUGGUGGAGCCUUCUUGGAAACCCGACGUGGGAGCCUACGUAUCCCGCAUUAACCUUCGCAAAAGGAGUUGAAUACUCCUUCGGGCCCCUCACCCAUAUGUGUGAUGAUGUCAUUACUCUGGUGACUAAAGAAACAUGUGCUUGUGAAUUGUUUUCUACAAGUUUCAAAGCUCCUUCCACCAAGAGGUAAAAUUAAUUUCCCCAUUCCUUGAAUCUGGACUGGCUCUGUGACUUGCCUUGCCCAAUUGAAUGCAGAGGUGGUGGUGUACAACUUCUAGGCAAGAUCUCAAGAGAUCUUAAAGCUUCUGCUCACACCUUCUUGGAACCCUGGUGCUGCCAUAUGAAGAAGCUUGACCUAGUCUCCUUGAGGAUGAAAGACUCAUGAAGAGGGGUCCGGCUGACAGCCAACAUCGACUGCUAAUGUGUAAGUGAGGCCAUAUUGGGUCACCCAAUCCCAGUUGAGCUGUCAGGUGAUUGCAGCCACAUAAGAGACCCUAGGCAAGACCAGCAGAAGAACUGUCUAGCUGAUCCCAACCCAUGUAUGUCAUCAACCCAUAGAAUCAUGAGCCAAUAAAAUGUUUUUCUUUUUAUAUUAUGAUUGAGAUAUUUGUGCC